CACCUAAUUCUUAAGGAAGGCUUGGAGACAUACAGGUUAGUUGGGUGCACAGGAGAAAAGAAAAUGGGUUGGUGAACACUCAGCCAGGCUGCCUCACCAUUCUAGGUAUUGCCAGAAGGAUUUAACAUACAGAAGCAAGUGCUUACAAAUCCCCGGAAAGGCUGGAGGCAGGAGAACUAGAGGCUGCCAUUUAACAUUCGGCUUUGAGGUCACACUUUUUGCCAACUGCUACUACGUCUGGUGUCAUCCUUGUACCCUCCAAAGUGGUACCAGCCAUCGGCACGCGGAGCCCCUUUGCUGCCAACCCUCACCUCUGCUGGUACCCACUUAACCACUGGCACACUUGCAAAGCCUUCCACCUUCCAAAGCUUCUGUAAGUGGAUCUUGUUCACUGAACCUGCACGGACCCAGAAAUGCAGCCAUACCGGAGACUGGGAGAUGUGGUUUCAGUCUUCCUUUGCUGGGAUACAGGGAAGAUGAUACAAGUUGGAAUUGAUACCAGAGCCAAUAGACUGUGGCACAGCAACCUUAUUCGGUGACCAUUGCUUUUCACCAUUCCUGCUGUUCCCAUUUUGUCUCUCGUCACUGCUUUUUUUUUUAGCUUGUCCUUCAUCUCCUGGUCAUUCAUCACUGUUUUCUUUUUAAUGCUCACUCCCAGUGGUCGCUUUGCCUGAUGCUGCCAUAAUGGGAGAGUUUCUCCUCUGACAGUGGUCAAUCUGAAUGAACUUUCAAAGGGAAGCUGGCUUUUGCAACUGUAUAGUUCCUCUGUCAGACUCCAUCAGAGAUACUGGAAUGGUACCGACAUCAAAGGUAAAUCCAUCCUAGGGAUCCAGUAGUGUCCUAGGAGAGGCUCCUAUUUCUAUUGGUGGAACCAUCUAGAAAGUUCUAGAACUUGGGGUAUACCCUGUUUCACAUUCUCCCCUUGGAUGAUGUUUCCCUCCACUGGCUUUGAGGGUCCUUGACUGACAGGCUGACUUUUGGAGGUGACGCUUUACCCAGAACUCCUGAGGUGACAGUGCAGAUAGGGACACCCCUCCCCCACCCCGAGGGCCUUUCACCAGGCUCUGAUCUGCUCCUGAAGAGAAUCAUGGUAAGGACAGUAGCAUGGUGUUGCUUUCCAAUGAAAACAUAGCUUGUCACUUUUCUCAGAGCCAUCCUGGGCGGGGCUGCACCACAAUGAGUUCCACAGCCCCCCUGAGACCAUCUGCUGCUUGCUGGAGUCCGGGUGGCAGAUUUUCUAGAAGGAUCUCAGAAGUCAAUGAGUGAAGGCAGAACUGCCCUGGAGAGGAGGAAUUCUGGCAGCAUAAGCUCAGGGAAUUCGUUUGGGAAAGAAAGUUUAUAAUAACAGUGUUCUAGUUACUGCUGAAUAAAACAUUCACAGAGCUUUUGUUCUCCCAGCAGAAAAAUAGAAUACCCUGGUGGCAAUAGAGUGGUUGUUCUGUUUAAAUGUUGUUUUUAAUAAAAAUCAGAUGGUAGCAGUCAUUUGACCUCUACACUGCUCCCCUCUGGGUCUUGUACGGGGCCUCCUCUGGGAGGACACCGUGUCCUGAGGCUGUAUGGAGGCGCUCUCCUCGAAGCAGAUGGGGAAACAGCCAUUUGAACGAAUGGGGCAUGAGCCCAGAGAAGGUACAACCAGCUGCAGAAAGACCAGUAAAUAUGGUUGUUACACAUCUGGUAGGUAGUUCUGCAGUGACACAGCUAAUGGUGCUGGUAUUUAAACGGCCAUUAGUAGACUUUGGCUUCUGCGCGCCCAAUUAAGAAAUACCCCGGAAGCUCUCUCUUGGUGCUGCUCUGCUGUCGCCUGGCCGCAGAGCUCCGGUUUGCAUGGCCAUCUUCAUUGCCUGCAGGGAGAGAAACUUCAUUUUUGUCAACAGCACAGAGCAGAUUCUGGAGUGGCCCCCGCCAAGGGUGGGGCAUCUCAGUAUCCUAGGGAAAGAUAGGAUUCGGUAGGCAGAGGGGGAGAGGCUAGGGCCUGAAGGUCCCUGGGUGGGGGAAAACACAAAUUUUAAAACAUUUCUCCUGGGCGCCGCUGACCUCCAGCAAACUCCCUCGGGCAUAAAGUUCCUCUUAAGCGUGUGACAUCACCUACUCCCCCUCAGGUUUGCCUCAGGAAUUUGACAAAAGACCUAACUAAAAAUAAGUAGACCAUACAACACGCGAGGCACAAAGAACAGUACGGCCAGAGACCAUCCCUCAUGCAGUGGAAACGAGUCAAUCAAAAUAGAAUGUCUAGUGGGCCUGGGUGGUUCAGGAGGUUAAGCUUCCAACUCUUGGUUUCAGCUCAGGCCAUGAUCUCACGGUUCGUGGGUUCGAGCCUCACAAUAGGCUCUGCGCUGACAGCAUGGAGCCUGCUUGGGAUUCUCGAUCACUCUCUCUGUCCCUCCCCCGCUUGGGCACACACACUCUCUCUCUCUCAAAAUAAAUAGAUAAACCUAAGAAACAAAAAAGAAAGGGAUGACUAGACACGUAGAGUUAUCUACCCAAUAAGGGUAGAACCUGUGAAGAAACAAGGGAGAAGGAAAGGGGGCCCCCCAAACCCUAUAAAACAAGUCCCUUGCCUAUAGUCCGUGGGCAUUCACUUUCAGAUGCCCCCUCUCUGUAAAGAGAGCUUUCCUGUGAUUCUUACUUUCUGAUCUUAUUCUAAUAAACUUUGGUCUGUUGCGCCUAUUAUUCUGUGUCCACCUGUUCAUUCUUCCAGCGACAAUGAACCCUGGGUAUUGAGGUAAAAAAUCCUGCAACCCCUGGGGCUAUACCUCCGAGAGGUGCUGCUUGGCCCCCUCCUACGUGGGUGAGGGUGCCAGCCUGGCACAUGAGGCACGCUCAGCGGCUUGGCCCUCAUUAACCCUGAAUCGACAACACUUAGAGCCAGUUAAUCUUAAGGAUUCAGUAUUCGCCAGUGCUAGGUUAUUCCCUUUAAAUCUCUGAAAAGAGAGGAAGGGGGAGGAGGCGUUUUCUCUUCCGAAAAACCUCACCGCAGGGGGCAGCUUGAGCAGGCUUCCUUCUACCUUUUGUAGGAUUCCCAGGUCCCAGGCUGCUUGGAGCCACUCCUGUCCCUCAGGGGUUCCUUCACAGUUGCAAUGCAAAUAUCUCUGGCCCGAGAAUUUAUUCAGAAUGGUGCCUGCAAAGAGCUUAAAGGCUUUGAGGAAGGUGGGGCCCGGUGUAGGGACAUCUCUGACUGUUGACAGUUUGCAAGGAAAGAUAACGAACGGCAGGAAAGGCCACUUUACCUACUCUGCUGGCCCCAACCCCGUUUCUUUUCUUCGCGUUUCAUAGGUUUAUUACUGAAAACCACCACCACCUCCUAAUAUGCUAUGUGCUGCCCAGGAAAGAGCCAUGACACGGACCCUGUUUGCAGAGCCUUAUUCCACGGAAACAUCUUGUCUUGCACAGGCCGGUCCAGUUUGUGCUGACGGUCCUGAUCAAGGAGACCCAGGCUUCUGCUUUUACGCAGCAAGGUGGUGACAACCAGAAACAUGAGUUGAUUGGAGGAAAACCAAGACAAGCCUAAAAGAAGUCAAGCUGCAACACAGUGCAGACUGAAGCGCAGCACGGGGUCCCCGGUUCCUCCUCAGCCCUCUGAUGCUCACUGUGAUGGCUGCUUUUCACCAAAGCCUCCGCUCCCUGGCAGCCGGAGAGAAGCUUCGGGAAGCUGGUGUGGUAGGCUGGUCUACGGAUGGCCCAGUGGCCUGCGUGGAACCUUUUCGGGUAUAGUAUGCUGAAGAGGUGGCCGCGUGGUGGGAGCAGCAUGUGACACACGGGGGGGGGGUAGGUCACACUCACCUCUACUUCCAGCCCCGGCAGUGAUGGCUGGUAACUUGGCCUGGCUGCCUUCACAGGGGAGGAUUCUCGGAAUCAGGAAAGGUGGCCAAGCAGAGGUUUGGGCGGUUUGCUCCACUGGACUGAUCUGUGUUCAGAUCCCGCAGUGUUUGGAGAUCUCUGUACAAACACACACAGACAUAUGACCUCUUCCUCUCUCUCCCACCCCCACGCCCCCCACCCCCCCAGACACUGCCAUCCAUUGUGUUUUCUAUAUAACAAGCUCUCGACAUAUGGAUGGGAGGUGACCAUGUGGCAUAAUGGAACAAGGGCUGGUUUGGGAACAAUCAAACUCCGGUUCCAGUCCCCCCAGCUGUGGGAUUUACUAGCUGUGUUAGCUUGGUCACGUUUCUUAAACUUUCCGAGUCUCGGUCUCCUUAACUAUGACAUGUGGUACUUGUGAGGAUUGAAAAUAACUCAGAUGAAAUAACUCUAGCCCAUAGCACUAGGUCUGGUCCACAGCAUCGGUCAAGAAAUGGGAAUCACCAGGAGCUCCUCAUCCUUACUCCAGCUCUAGCAUUAAGAACCUUUCAGUUGAGUAGGGAGGCUUGUGGAAGAGGAAAUGUACUCUCCCCUUGGCUGAGCGACCGUGCCCAUGGGCAAUCUUUUACUCACUGUCUGUUUUCAUAUUCACCCGCCUCAAUUCACCCAUCUCCACGUACUCCAUGGGGCCUGCAUGUGCCUGGACCCUGGCUGGCUAGAUGUUACUGGUUUACCAGGGGCCACGUGGCUCGGAGAGAGGUUUCUGUUCUUUGAGGUUCCUGCAGGUGGAUCCUGUUGAGAUUUAACGCAGGUGUUUGUCCCUCAGACACCGCUGAGGGCCCUCUCCUCUUUCUGUUUCUCGCUGUCCCUGAACAGUAAUAGGGUAACAUUUUCUGGUCCCCGGAAAACAGCCUGCUCUUGGCGUGUUUCUAUUGUGCAUCAUCUAUGUUUGGCCUUGACCCUCCUGUGUUCUGCACUGUGAGCAGAAUAUCAAGUGGGCUGGAGAAGCAAGCCAGGCACUGCCAGCCCAGUGUGUGCAUUGUCAGGGGGAAUAUCAUGCUACGUGCACAGAAAAUAACUUCCUUUUCUCAUUUUAUAAAUUAGCUCAGCGAUCCCUGAGAUUAUGAGCCUUUAUUCCCAUAGACAGUGCUUUAAAGGGGAAAAAGAAACAAUAACAAUGGAAUCAGAAUACAGUUCUCUGGGCAGUUCCAAUCAGGAAGCGUGGGUAGGAAUACGGUCUAGAGAUUCUUACAGCACCCAAAAGCUCUCCAUCAUCCCCGAUCCCACUUUCUCUCCUAGCCUCACCCCUACUUCGGCUGCUUUAUCACAAAAAGCUCUGAUGAAAAGCUUGUGAUCUCAGCUGGGGCUGCCGGGCUGGGGAGAAGAAAAGGGGUCCUCUUUCUAGAGGAGAAAGGUCAUGCAAAAUGCUGGAUUCCUGUGUCUGGGAGGUAGCCGACCAACCUUUUCAGAUACAGGUUUGUCCUCUGUCAUAGAAUUUGUCAUAGAAGCAGUGACAAUUUUGUCAUAGAAGCAGUGAUAAUCAGAGCGAGGAAUGUAUAAAUCAUCUGGACCUACCCCUACAGAUGAGGAAACUGAGACCCAGAGAAGGUAAGUGACUGGGCCGAGGUCCUCACUCAGCUGACGAGGGGCUGGCCUGGGACCCCCGUGAGCCUGACUGCACUUCUCAAAGCAGAAGGGUUCCCAGGGGAGAAAAAGGCAUCUCUUUCGCAUCUCAUUUUAUUCCAAAGUACAAAACCCAUUCCUAUUUUUUCUUAAUCUACUUGUAAACUCUAAUGACUAGUUCUAGUGUUAAAUACUUCACAUAAUUUACUUAAUUAGCUAAUUGCUAACAAUGUGAAGUCAUUUUCUUUGACCUUUUAUAAUCCCCGUUCCUCCCACAGAAAACAAGGUCCUAUCAUCAGUGUUUUGGUGACAUUGGCAUAAAAAGUGAAUGGCUUGACAUAAAAGCAGAGUCUAGUUCUGGAAUGUCUGGCUUUCCUCCACUAAACACCCGGUAUUCCCUUAUAAAGUAGAGUGUGUGUGUAUGGGGGAUGGGUGGGGGCAGCGGGAGGACAUUUUUGAAAUUAGGAGCAUUACCCCCACCUGUAUAUUUACUGAUUCUAGAGGCGAGUUAAUGAAGUAAGUUUGAAAGAUUGGGACCACAGAGACCUAACGUCGAGUCUCACCUCUACCCUGUCCUCGCUGGAUCGCUUUGAACAAAGAACCUGGCUCCAAGGCUCUGUUUGACUAUAAUAUGGAUUUAAUAAUGGGGCCUAUUUGAUAGAGUCAUUAUGAGAAUUAAGUGACUUGAUAUGUGUAUAAAGUUUCUAAGACUGGAUGUGGCAUGCAGUAAGACUUCAACCAAUGUUCAUUAUUAUUAUUGUUAAUAAAUACUUACAGGAGUAUUUGAAGGUUCAGAAAAGUAAGAAGAAGGAAUGCUGCCUCGAUUCCCUCCCUCCGAGUUUGCUACUUUUCCACCAUGGAAUCAUCAUGGUAUCACAAUAGGACUGUUGGAAAUGGCCCUGACCGGGGAAUCCUUCGGGAUCUCCUCCUCAGGAAGCCUCAUGUACUCUGGUUCAGAGACGCUCAAGCCCGAGCCAACCUCGCAAGCCCAGUUGACCUAAUUCAGUCUUCUGACCAGUGGAAUGGCAUCCAGCAUCACGUCCAGCUUUAAAAGCUUUCAGAAAAGAGACCUCCAGAGCUCCCAGACCUAUCACUGCACAAGGUACUCUGGACGUUAAAUUAUCGGAAAUCCGACAGUUUAACACAGUCUCCGGGUCAUCUGUUUGCCGGGGAGAAGACAGUUGAAUAUGGGUGUGAUGUAUGCCGAGACUGAGACAAAUGUCUUCCUUUAGGCAUCAAAACUAGGCCUCUGGGCUUUGUGGAGGGAUCUGUGGUGGCUCCCUGGGCUGGUGAAGGGCCGAAUCUCUGGCGCCUGAAGCCUGACUGGUCCCAGCCUCCACACCUCUGCACAGAGCUGUCCUCACAGUGAGCUGCUGAGCUGACAGCUGUCUCUUUCGGAGCCCUUUGGGUCUGCCGCCCCAUGCUGUCCCCUUGAGAGAGAAGCAUGGAAGCAGUUGACAGUCUAUGACUAAGGAGAAGGCUCUCACCAGAACAGACCAUGUCGGCACCAUGAUCUCAGACUGCCUGCCUCCAGAACAGAGAGAAAAGAAAGGUCUGUUGUUUAUAAACCACCCAGUCUAUGGUACUUUGUUAUAGGAGAUGGAACAGACUAAGACACCUUCCUUGACACCUUAUUUCAUUUUGUUUGUAUCUUUUUAUGGCGCUUACGUUAUUUUGCUUCUGUUAGAGCCAUUUGUUAGUGUGUGUACUUGUCUUAUUUUAUUCUCCAUUUUCAUCCUUCCAGUGGCAAAAAUUUUGAAGGCUGGCACUAUUUUAUAUGUGACUUUUCUAUUACUCGCAGUCUACUACCUUGGAUAUAAUGGGUGCUCAAUAAAUAUUUGUUAGAUUUAAUUCAAUAGAGGUAAAAAUCAUGUCAUCUUCUCUAGAAAAAUGUGCUGGCCAUGAGAACCAUUGUUUACCAGUGAAUCUCCUAGAACUUUCAUGUAUCAAUUUUAAAGGGCUUUGUAGCCUAUGAACACUACAUGAGGUGGGCUAAAAACAUUUUUAGCCCACCUCACAUUUUAAGCUUUUCCUUCUGAGAGGAAAAAAAAAAUCGCUAGAUUUAUUCAUUUAUUCUCGGAAGAUUGUACUUAGAGGAGGAAAUGAGGGUUAUGGCAGCAAUCCAAGCAUCCUGAAAAUGCGUUGGAAUUCCCCCCAAAUUGGAUUUACCUUUCUUCACACCACUGAUGCUCUCUUGGCAUUUUGAUCACUAAAGACAAUAGGAUCUCCAAGCGAUUUGGGGUUUCCUGGAGAGCGAGUUUUGGUUUAAUUAGGUCCCACUGUAUGAACUGCAGUUUGAUUCACACUGGUGGAGAGGAGAAGGCAUUCUCUCUCCUUGUUUCUUCCCCACACCUCCUCCUCCAUGUCUUUCUAAACCACAUCUCCUUUCCACCUAUCUUUCCUUCUCGUUGCUUGUCACCCUUCGUAGGCUGUUCAGUUACAACUUAGUUACUUCUGUUAAAUCUCUGCCUCUAAAGCCCAUACCUGUUGUAGCUUCUCCUUGUCCGCACCAAGUGAUCUUUCUCAGGGAUGAGGAAGGAGGGCAUUUAGUAUGGUACAGAUGCAUUCUGUAAGCCACCCUAGAAAGAACUAUCACUAUUCAACGAGUGUUCUCUGGUGGUUUAGGACACGGGGAAAAUUUAGCAACCCAGGAUGCCUGGGCAUCACUGGGCAGAAAUAAUUGCUAAUUAGUAUCCUACUAGCUUGGGAGCAUUAAUUGGCUUUGGGGGAUUUGCUUUCUAGACCCAAAGUGUAUUUUGUUCAUUUUAGCUUGCUAUAUAGGAUGAGGGAGGAAUAACAAUUACUGAAAUAGUUUCAUUUCAGUAAUUCAACCUAAUGAAGACUUGUCAUUUCAAUGAUUAUUCAGUAGUUGGUCCUUGUUUUUUCUGCCAAGGUUUUAGAAAAACAAGCUCAGAUAUUUCUCAAGCCUGAGAAAACACAGCCUUUCCUUUAAAAUAAUUUAGAGAAAUUUAUUUUAUUCACGGAUACAGGAAUGCUCACAAAAGAAUUGUCAUCCUAUGUGAUUACAUAAGUAGAGAGAAAAGGAAAGAAGAUAUCUUUUGAAACAUAUCAUUUUCAUUUCAGAACACAUCAAGCAAUAAUAUAAAAUAAAGUGCCUCAAAUUGAUAUCUUUAAUUUUCUCCUAGAAAGAAAAUUUGUCAGCUAUUUUAUGAUUUAUUGAGGCUAAAGCCAUACGUGAGGACAAGUUUUUAUGAUUAAUUAAAUAAAAUUACUUGAGCAUAAUACUCAUGAUGAUAUUAUCUUUAAAUUAAAACCCACUUGAAUAAGAUUGAUGACAUUUUCAAUCAGCAGAUUAAUUAAACUCUUUUGUUAAUUACACAUAAGUCAAUAUGUUUGGAUUAUGUAUCAAUCAAUAUGCUGAAGCAACAUCCACUUACUUUGCUCUAGAAAACGGCUUUGCUGAUAUUUUUUUAGCAGCUUAUUUUAGAAGUUAGCGUUCUUUCAUUUUCUUUAUACCAGAGGUCUCAAUAUUUAGCAAAUUUAGAUGUGAAAAUAAUUGUCACAACAUUUUUUUUUUGCUUUUUUUUUUUUUUUUUUGUCUUUGCGAAAGUCUUUUUUUGGGCUGAAAUGAGCUUUUUUUUGUUUAACAUUCUGGGUUUUUUCUAAUUUUAUUAUUAUCUUUUUAUUUGAGAGAGAGAGAGUGCGAGUGGGGGAGAAGGGGGGGAGAGAGAAUCUCAAGCAGGUUCUACACCCAGUGCGGAACCCAACGAGGGGCUCGAUCCCACGACGCUGCGAUCAUGACCUGAUCAUGACCUAAGCCAAAAUCAAGAGUCUGAAGCUCAACCUACUGAGCCACCCAGGCGCCUCUGUGUUUAACGUCCUGAAGAACUGUUAACCUGUUUCUGUACCUUACUCUACCUUUGACAAUUUCCACCCCUCGCCCUCCUGCCCAGUCCCAUUACUAGAGCUUUAAUUACCGAUGACUUCCUAUUUGUCUUUGUAGGUAGAGGUGGGCGGGGCUGGCGGAGGGGGGGGUGGGCGGGGAGGGUGACUAGUGCUUUGUGACAGGAGACACAGAAAGGUAGUUUACUUACCAUCUUACAGAGCUUAGGAACCAGUGAUAAGCCGACACACCGGUAACUGUUUUGAGUGCCUCUAUGAAGUGCAGGAAAACUAAAUGCUGUGGUUGGACAAUCACCCAGAGCCUCUUCUCCUCCUACAAGUUUCCAAGCAUUUAUUUUCUGUAUUUUUAUUCACUGGGCCAGAUUCUUCUCUCAGUCUGGCAAGAGUUUACAUGCUACAAAUAGCUACCCUUGAAUGAGUGGGAGUUUUCUAGGCUCUCAGAGAAGCCAAUUUGGGGCUGUUAUUUAGCUCCUGUCAAAGCCUCGCUGAGACAACUGAUAUUUGAGAAAUAGAGUUUAUAGAUGUACAGUCUCCUAUGUGGGCUAAAGCUAUAUCCUUGAUCACCAGAAAGCUCUAAAUGUGGUGCUCAUUAGUUUACCCUUUCCCAGUGGAAGUUCUUUCAUGAAUCAUGUUUUAGUGCUAGGUCUUUAUCUUUUUUUUUUUUUUUAAGCAUUUAAUACUGGAAACAGUGAAGUGAAGAAUAUUUCUGAAGCUUCUGUAAAAACUGCUUAAAGAUACUGCCCAUUAUGUUGUUCAAUGUUCCUUGCGCAAGAACUCAUGUGAUGAAUUCCUUUGAAAAUUUAUUACCAGGAAAAAGUUUGUCUCUACUGCAGAAGUGAAAGUUUUGCUUUUUUUCAGACAACAAACGCCAUAUCCUUUAUUGUUUCUCUUUAUGCAUUGGCUGUCAGGAAGCUCAGAAUUAAAGUAAAUGCUGUGUCAUUAGAAGAGAGAGUAAGAAAUACCAGGCAGUUUCCAGGAGGAGCAUAGGAGUGAAUCUUUGUAUUCCUGUUAUCUGUUCACUUGCUGAUGCAAUGGACAUUUACUAAAGGGCCACUGUGUUCCAGACACCAUGCCAAAGGUUGGGGAGAAGAUGACGGUCCUUACCCUGAAAUGGAUUAUGGUCUGGGAGGGGGACAAGAUAUAUACAUGAAUGAAUCUGCCAGUGGGCUGCAGGAGGUAAAUAAGGGAGCGCUUAGUUCUGCGAGGAGACAGGAAAGGUCCCCCAGAUGAAUUAUGGAGAAAAAAAAAUCGCUGGGUAGACAUGGUCAGGGUAGGGCACAAAGCUCAAAAGGGAAAAGCAGCGCAGCAGCCACAGCAGUGUGUGAGGGGAGGGUUAAGAAAUGACGGCAGAGAGAUGGGUAAAACCCAAAUGUCAAAGGCUUCUGUGACUCACCUGGAAGUCUGUGCUUUGUCCUCAGGGGGAAUGUAGAUUUGUAAAAGUAUUUUUUUUUUUCAGUUUAUUUAUUUGGAGAGGGGGUUGGGGGAGUGCACAAGCAGGUGAGGGGCAGAGAGAAGGAGACACAGAAUCCCAAGCAGGCUCCUGGCAUCUGCUCAGAGCCAGAUGAGGGGCUUGGAGCCCAGCAACCGGGAGAUCAUCAUCUGAGCCAAGAUCAAGAAUCCCUGGCUCAACCGACUGAGGCACCCAGGUGCUCCGAUUUGUAAAAGUAGUUUAAGGCACAUGAUCAGAUUUGCAUUUGAGACCGCCUUCUGGCAACCUAGCAGGAGAAGAUUUGGGAAGGGGGCCAGAUGAGAAGCAGAGGGCCCGGGCCGGUGGGGGGGGAGGCUGGUGGAAAGCACAGGAGCUACAGGGGAGGGACCGGGCUGAGGCUGGGGCACGAGGAGAAGCAGCAGCGAGGACCACAAGCCAGGUUUCUGGCUCCGGAGACUAGGGAUGAAGGCGAAAGGAAGAGAAACAGCUGCAACCGCUUGGGCCGGGAUAUUCCGCUCUGGUUGUCUGGAGCUGCAGGGCCUGGGAGGGCUAUGAGGGCCGCUGCUCCUGAGUUGCGAGUCAGAGGUAAGGUUCUGCCCUGCAGGAGGGAAGUCCCACCUCUGAACCGUUGAUGGAGCUCUGGGAGUUGUUUCCGCCCUGGAGACAGGCAGAGUCCUCGAUCCAGCAGAUCCGUGGAGGAGUGGGAAGUGUGAGGAUAAGAAAGGGGGAGGCGGUGGGUGGGGGGGGGGUGGGCAGAAAUACUGGUGUCCUUCCUGGAGGCUUGGGAGGCGCGGGCAGACAGAAAGGGAGGCCCCUGGGGGGGGGGGGGAUGGGGGGCAAUGGUGUAGGCCUAGGCACCCCGCCCUCCCGUGGUCAGUCUGGGAGGUUCAUCCACCCGCACCCUAGGAAAUCCAAAGCUCAGCUCCGGCUCUUCCACCCUCCUCCCCACAUCAGCCCCUUCUCUACUCUCUCCUUGAAGCAGAAACCUACCCUUUUCCGAAGCCAGAUCCUCAGUGUCACCCUUGAGGCCUUAAGCCCCCCCACGACUUAAGGGAACGUUCAGUUUCUUAUUAAGCCCUUCCUUUGUCUCCGGCCCACCCUCGCCCCAGUCACUGCCUUAGUUCAAGCUUCUGACACUUUAAAAAACAAUUUUUUUUUUGCAUUUAUUUAUUUUUGAGAGACAGUGUGAGCAGGGGAGGGGCAGAGAGAGAGGGAGACACAGAAUCAGAGAAGCAGGCUGCAGGCUCCGAGCUGUCAGCACAGAGCCCCAGGUGGGGCUCGAACCGCGGAACCGCGAGAUCAUGACCUGGGUCGAAGUCGGACACUCAACUGAGCCACCCAAGCAUCCCCAAGCUUUUGGCACUUUUGGCAUGGGUUGUGGCAGUGGUUCCCAGUGGAUCUUGCCUCCCUCUAGUCUAGCUCUCAAAUUUGUUCGUCACUUCCAUGCUAAAAAUAAUACAAUGGACUCCCAUUUCCUGCCUGACCAAGUCCAAAGCCUUAGCUUGAUAUACAAGAGCUAUUUAAACAGUGCAGUGUAAGCAGCCAUCUUGCCUCAUUCUUUUGCAUAUGCACAGUGCAACGUACAAAGAAGUCUCCGGAGCCCUUGGCCACAUUCCUCCCCCUCAACCUUUCCUUAAUCCGGGAUGACAAUGGACAGUCCACCCAUCCAAGGUCAAGAGCAGAAAACGGCGCCAUGUUUUGUGGAGUUGUGAAAUCUACCGCUACCUUUCCAUCUUUGGGAAAUUUCCUGAUACUGAACUGCAGUAUAUUUUCUCUUAUCCCUACACUUUUGCAUCUACCAUUUUUUUUUUUUUUUUGUCUGCAACGACUUUCCCUUCUUCAUUUGGAUAGAUUUAUUGAAGAAAGAAUACAGAAGUAGUGAAUUCUGUACAAGAAGGGAUGUUUUGUCCAGGUGAUAGUUAACCCAAAGGUUGUUUUCUUUCUCUACCUGGUCCCAUCCAAGCCAGGAUUUAUAAAAUCCUUCCCAUGGCUAUAGUGCAGUUCAAAGAGACAGAAAGAGAGAUCAGAACAAAGAACAAAAAGUCACCUCUGGGUAACUAUUAGAGGCAGCCACUGUUUGUAGACAGUGCACUUUAGAGGAACCCAAAUCUCCUCAGAAAUAAGCUUGAUGACUUAACAAUAAAUUUUGAACAAUUGUGGACUGAGAAACUGAAAGUUCUCUGUUAUUUGAAAGAAAGCCGUGAUACAGUGAAGCGUCCUUUGCAGAGCACAGGGGUUUCAGAUGUAGAAUUUUUGUGAAGAUGAAGAAUUUGGUGCAAAUAAUGUAGCUCCAGGGCAGAGGAAAAAGAGCAUGUGCCCUGAAUCCAGAGAGACGUUUCUCUUAGCAAUAUUUGGCUAAAAGUUUUGCCGAUUCUGAGGUGAGGGAGAACGAGUAGUUUGCUGUGUGUUUUCAUGCCUUUAUAAUGGUUUAAUAAUCCAUAUACAAUCAACUUCAAAGUAAGCAUUGAUUUAGUCAUUCUCAGCUGGGGAAGCAAAUAUUAUAAACUUGAAACCCUUGGUUAAAAUUAAGAGCAACUAUCAGUCAUCAUGCUGUUUGAUAAGCCCAGGAAGAAAAGAAUCCUACAUGUCAAAUGCUUUGAAUUUUGAAAGCGCUUCACGGAUGAGAUAAGGAUAUUUACAUUCUGUGACCACAACUACAGAGCUAGCGAAGAACGCAGGUAAGAGAACAGACUAGGAGGGGAAGGGCAGUAUUGAAAUUUAAGUUUAUGCACGCAGGCUUUGUCUGCUAAUAAGUUUAUUGGAAAGGAGCUGGAAGCUUCUGCCUCAGAUUCAGUAACUAUAAAUUUCUCCCCGAGAUGGUCAUUUAAUGUUAACUACAAAAUUGCUGCUUAAUAUUCAUGGAGUGCAACCUUCCCCACUGCUGCACGUGCAAAAUAUUCUAUUAUUUCCUUAAUUCAUAUUUGUUUUGUAGGAAAUGGAAUUUGCUUACUUAAUUUGUAAAUAGAUGCAAACAGCAUUUUGUUAAUCUAUGUAAAAAUUGUUCUUGCGUUAGUUGGAAAAUCCUUUUAUCUCUGGACUUUUUUUUUUUUUUUUUUUUGUAGGUUGCAGGUACAUACCUUCCUUUAGCUGGUUUGGAGCCAAAGACAACAUGAGGGUUGGUUCCUAUAACCCACUAACUUUAACUUAUUGAGCAUUUCCUGUGUGCCAGGUGCUGUAUUGAGUGCAAUGCCCAUCACUCUGUAAUCUGGCUGUAUGAGUCCGAGUUCAGUCAAGGAAAGAGAGCAACCAUGUGAGUGUCAUGGGAUGAGGGGCUUGUUCGGAGUCGAGCUGGGGCUCAGGAUUUUCCUGAGAGCACUUGUGCGCCUUUCUUCCCAACUCCAUGUUCAAUGACUUCAUAUCGAUGGCUUGAAAAGUGGGAGUAUUCGGACCACAGAUAUCAGCAAAAGCUGCAAAUUGGGUUCUCCCUGGAAAGCAGGUUUAUUACAUACCUGUGCAAGGUGGGGAAGUGAAAGCCUGGGAGAGGGAGCUGGAGGGUUGGCGGUGUCAUUUACCGGUUGUCCUGAAGCAGUGGCCCAGAGAGGCAGUUCGGAGCUCGCAGUGAGAUCUGGGAAACUAAGCACGUCCAGUCGCUGAAGGUGGAUUGCAAGGGGAGGAUUACUUGGAGAGGACCGAGGGGAGCUACAGCCUCUGUGUGGCACCUGCGUCUGUGGUUUGCAGCCAAGCAUCUGGGGUGGGCUUGUGGCUGCUGUUGAUGAGCAGAAGCCACCAUCCGGGGGACAAGCUAGGUGUGGAGCAGAGGGAAGUCAGCACCGGCUGGGAUCCUUACUGCUGUGUCACCGUCACCAUGUCUGACUGCAGGGAAAGGUCUCCUGCCCUUCCCCUCUCUCCUGCUUCACUUCCAUCUCCCAAAUUUUGGGCAGGUUUCUCUUUUGGCCAAUCCUAACCUUGAGCCCUCUGGGAAACAGUUGUCAUCACGGUUCCCAUCUUAACCAAGUUGACAUGGCACAAUCCCACACGCUUCCUCAACGGGGGGGUGAGACGGAUAUCAUGCUCUCCAUUUUUCAGAAAAGAAAACCAAGAUCCAGUGAGGUUAUACAAACAUGUCACUAGGUCUGUUAGAUUCCGAAGCCUAUCUUCUUCAUUACCAUAGUACCCUGGGAGUGUGUUUAUUCUCAUUUUGUCUUUUUUGGCUGUUUGUAAAAUAAUGGCCCAAAUCAAAGAAUCCCUUCCCAAAAGUGCCACACGUAAACAUUUGUCAUGGGUGAACCCAUCUGACAAUUAUCAUAAGUGUUCUAGUGCCCAGGAUGACCAGGUAAGAUGAGCAUUUACAAAAAAAUGUAUGUUAACAGGGCUUACUCCAGUCUGUUAUGGUGUGUCUGGGCCUUAAUUCUGGGGAUACAAGGAUGCUGGGAUGGUGAGAUAGGAUGUCUGCCAUCAAGGAGCACACUGUCUGAGAAAAAUAGAGCAGUAAUUUUAGUUCCAGACCAUUUUAUGUACUUUUCCAGAUUUACUCAGCCCCACCUGCCCUCUUGGCCUUAGAUGGUUGCUCGGUGGACGGCCUGGCCAACACUGCCAUAGUCUGAAUGCUACCACCACCACCUGGGCUCAGCAUGGGUUUCAUUUUGUCCACCGGAGUGGGGGCCUUCGGGCUUCUCGGCUCAGAUCUGACCUGACCAAACACACAAGGCCUGUGACUUCCCUGGCACUUCUGGACUCAGAGGUAGCUGUGCAUCAUUGGCUCUGGGCUGGGCUUCUCCAGCGGCUUCCCGGAGGGACCGGAUGUCAUAACUCAGAAGUGAGUGGGGAGGUGACACAUUGGGGGGGGUGACCUUUGAGCAAUGGUAGACAAGAGUUGGAGGAUCCUGGCUGAUAUAUCCUCCUUUCCUGUCCACGUGGACUGUUCCAGGUAUAGUGGUUCCACACAGCUGACUAGGAGGGAUGGAGAGUCAUGUGACUGAAUAGCUGACUAUGUUUUCCAGGAAGAUGUGGCCAGCUCAGUAACCCACCACUUUGUUUAUGCCUGUCCUCCUUCCCUUCCUCUCUCCCCUUCUCCCUCAUGGUCGCUUCCCUGGAAUUGCACCUCUGCAAAACGUUGGCCUCUCAUCUUUGCUUCAGACUCAUCUCUAGGGAGCCUAGGCAAAGAUAAUUACCUAAAGGUAAACAAAUGCUAAAAAAAAAAUUGUGAUAAUGGCAUGUAUAAAAUACUAUUGGAGAGGGUUGCUAAAAAUAUAAAAUAUAUACAUAUAUAUGAUACAUAUAUAUGGCUAUAUAUAUAUAUAUAUAUAUAUAUAUAUAUAUUCAAAGCCCAAA